rnacentral:rRNA from 1 species
UACGGAGGAUGCGAGCGUUAUCCGGAUUUAUUGGGUUUAAAGGGUGCGCAGGCGGAUUUUUAAGUCAGCGGUAAAAAUUCGGGGCUCAACCCCGUCGUGCCGUUGAAACUGAUGUUCUUGAGUACAGUAGAGGUGGGCGGAAUUCGUGGUGUAGCGGUGAAAUGCUUAGAUAUCACGAAGAACUCCGAUUGCGAAGGCAGCUCACUGGACUGCAACUGACACUGAGGCUCGAAAGUGUGGGUAUCAAACAGG